AUGCUCCGGCAUGUGCAUGGUGAGCCGGGAUCGGGGAGCAGCCCCCGGCAGGGGUGCACGGCGAGCCGGGAUCAGGAAACAUCCCUGCACAUCGUCGCAUGCCGAAGCCUCAGCACUGAGCCCCCAGCCCUGCAGCGGGGACGUGCAGGGUGCAGGAGACACCUCCUCAUCCCAGCACUUGCAGGGCUGCGGAGGACUCGUGUGAGGUGGGGGGAACUGGGCUGGACUGGUCUGGGGUGGGGGGAACAGGGUGGGUGGGUCUGGGCUGGGGGGAACUGGAGCGGAGCUCCCUGCUCUGCCACCAACCGCCCCGGUGGCCUUGGUCACCUCACCUCGCCCGCUCUGGCACUGAGCCCAGCCCUGCGCGCACGGCGCUGCACAGAGCGGAGCUGUGCCAGGGCCCCGCCGGGGCCACACGGCUUUUGCUCUUGCACAAGCAGCCGUGCGAGGUGCCAGCCCCCGUUUGGGGGUGCCGGGGCCGCGGUGGCCGGCGAGGGCUCUCCCAGGCUCUCUGUGCGCGGAGCGGCAGGAAGCGUGUGGGCUCAGCCGGUAUUUUUAGCACUUUGGCGAAGAGGAAGCUCGAGUGUGGUCAGCCCUGCGGCACGGGGAAAACCAGGCUCCAGGUCCCGCUCGGGGACCCUGGGGCCGCCUGCACCACCACUGCUGGGAAGGGUCAGGGCCAAGGGCAGCCCAGCGCAGCCGGGGGCUCCGGGUGGCAGAUUCCUGGCCUUGUCCUGCGCUCGGGGCGUCAAGGGAGGAGAUGGCUCCCUACGCCGGCCGGCUCACCCGCAUCUCCGUGCACCGGCCGGCUCGGCUGCAGCCCCGUGCGCUGGGCUUGCUUUUGUCUGCAUGCACGGGGCUCGUUCGCAUCCCCUCGUGCACGGGGCUCGUUCGUGUCCCCUGUUCAUGGGGCUCAGUCGCGUCCCCAGCCGGAGCCCGGCUGCCCCCAGCCCCUCUGCACUGGUGCAGGAAUUAUCCCUUGGACAUUUCCCGCGGGGCUGCAAACAGGAGCCUUCCUGCACGGGCUGGGGUGCAGCGGCCGCGCGUGCCUCGCGCCCCUGCCCGCUCCGGGCCAGGGGGACACGGACGCUGCCCGGCCGCCCCGGCGAAGGCAGGAGCGGAGCGGAGCUGAUUUUGCACCACGGCCCCGGGAAGCCCGUCCUGUCCCGUCCCAGGGAGCCCGGUGACGUGGCCGGAGGGAGAGGUCGAGCCCUGGGAGGGGACACGGUCGCGGCGCUGUAA
rnacentral:lncRNA from 1 species